rnacentral:rRNA from 1 species
GGAUGAGUGGCGAACGGGUGAGUAACACGUGAGUAACCUGCCCCUGAUUUCGGGAUAAGCCUGGGAAACUGGGUCUAAUACCGGAUACGACCUGCCCUCGCAUGAGGGUUGGUGGAAAGUUUUUCGAUCGGGGAUGGGCUCGCGGCCUAUCAGCUUGUUGGUGGGGUAAUGGCCUACCAAGGCGACGACGGGUAGCCGGCCUGAGAGGGCGACCGGCCACACUGGGACUGAGACACGGCCCAGACUCCUACGGGAGGCAGCAGUGGGGAAUAUUGCACAAUGGGGGAAACCCUGAUGCAGCGACGCAGCGUGCGGGAUGACGGCCUUCGGGUUGUAAACCGCUUUCAGCAGGGAAGAAGCCGUAAGGUGACGGUACCUGCAGAAGAAGUACCGGCUAACUACGUGCCAGCAGCCGCGGUAAUACGUAGGGUACGAGCGUUGUCCGGAAUUAUUGGGCGUAAAGAGCUCGUAGGUGGUUGGUCACGUCUGCUGUGGAAACGCAACGCUUAACGUUGCGCGUGCAGUGGGUACGGGCUGACUAGAGUGCAGUAGGGGAGUCUGGAAUUCCUGGUGUAGCGGUGAAAUGCGCAGAUAUCAGGAGGAACACCGGUGGCGAAGGCGGGACUCUGGGCUGUAACUGACACUGAGGAGCGAAAGCAUGGGGAGCGAACAGGAUUAGAUACCCUGGUAGUCCAUGCCGUAAACGUUGGGCACUAGGUGUGGGGGACAUUCCACGUUCUCCGCGCCGUAGCUAACGCAUUAAGUGCCCCGCCUGGGGAGUACGGUCGCAAGGCUAAAACU